GGUAUGGGAUGAGCUUGCGUCCGAUUAGCUAGUUGGCGGGGCAACGGCCCACCAAGGCGACGAUCGGUAGCCGGCCUGAGAGGGUGAUCGGCCACAUUGGGACUGAGAUACGGCCCAGACUCCUACGGGAGGCAGCAGUAGGAAAUAUUGCACAAUGGGGGAAACCCUGAUGCAGCAACGCCACGUGUGGGAAGAAGCAUUUCGGUGUGUAAACCACUGUCAUGAGGGAAUAAGGCCCGUUUUCGGACGGGAUUGAAUGUACCUUGAGAGGAAGCACCGGCAAACUUCGUGCCAGCAGCCGCGGUAAUACGAGGGGUGCAAGCGUUGUUCGGAAUUACUGGGCGUAAAGGGAGCGUAGGCGGAGAUUCAAGCGGAUUGUACAAUCCCGGGGCCCAACCCCGGCUCUGCAGUCCGAACUGGAUUUCUUGGAUAGUUCAGGGGCAGGC
rnacentral:rRNA from 1 species